UACAGAGGUCUCAACCGUUGUUCGGAUUCAUUGGGGUCGUAAAGGGUGCGUAGGCGGUCGUGUAAGUCGGAAUGUGAAACGUCUCCGCAGGGCCUCAACCCAUGAAACUGCAUUCGUACUGCAUGGCUAGGGUACUGGAGAGGAGACUGGAAUUACGGUGUAGCAGUGAAAUGCGUAGAUAUCGUAAGGAAGACCAGUGGCGA
rnacentral:rRNA from 1 species